rnacentral:rRNA from 1 species
GACGUAGGGCGCGAGCGUUGUCCGGAUUUAUUGGGCGUAAAGAGCUCGUAGGCGGCUUGUCGCGUCGUUCGUGAAAACUCACAGCUUAACUGUGAGCUUGCGGUCGAUACGGGCAGGCUAGAGUUCGGUAGGGGAGACUGGAAUUCCUGGUGUAGCGGUGAAAUGCGCAGAUAUCAGGAGGAACACCGGUGGCGAAGGCGGGUCUCUGGGCCGAUACUGACGCUGAGGAGCGAAAGCGUGGGGAGCGAACAGG